rnacentral:rRNA from 1 species
UGAGGAAUAUUGGUCAAUGGGCGGAAGCCUGAACCAGCCGAGUAGCGUGAGGGACGACGGCCCUAUGGGUUGUAAACCUCUUUUAUGCGGGAAUAAAAUGUUUGACGUGUCAUUCAUUGUAGGUACCGCAAGAAUAAGGACCGGCUAAUUCCGUGCCAGCAGCCGCGGUAAUACGGAAGGUCCAGGCGUUAUCCGGAUUUAUUGGGUUUAAAGGGAGCGUAGGCCGCAAGUCAAGCGUGUUGUGAAAUGCAGGGGCUCAACCUCUGGAUUGCAGCGCGAACUGGCAUACUUGAGUACGCACGAGGUAGGCGGAAUUUGUGGUGUAGCGGUGAAAUGCUUAGAUAUCACGAAGAACUCCAAUUGCGAAGGCAGCUUACCGGAGCGCAACUGACGCUGAAGCUCGAAAGUGCGGGUAUCGAACA